CCGUGCCCAAGAGACUGGGAUAACACCUGGAAACAGAUGCUAAUACCGGAUAACAACACUAGACGCAUGUCUAGAGUUUAAAAGAUGGUCCUGCUAUCACUCUUGGAUGGACCUGCGGUGCAUUAGCUAGUUGGUAAGGUAACGGCUUACCAAGGCAAUGAUGCAUAGCCGAGUUGAGAGACUGAUCGGCCACAUUGGGACUGAGACACGGCCCAA
rnacentral:rRNA from 1 species